CAUCGAGGUUUUGAACGCAAGUUACGCCCAAAGCCUUUGGCUAAGGAAUCGUCUACCUGAGCGUCACAC
rnacentral:rRNA from 1 species